AUUGAACGCUGGCGGCAGGCCUAACACAUGCAAGUCGAGCGAGCGGGGGACGGGUGAGUAAGGUCUGGGAGACUGCCUGAUGGGGGGGGGUAACUACUGGGAACGGUAGCUCAUACCGCAUACCAUCAAAUGUGCCCCGAUGGGAUUAGCUAGUUGGUGGGGUAACGGCUCACCUAGGCGACGGUCCCUCGCUGGUCUGAGAGGAUGACCAGCCACACUGGAACUGAGACACGGUCCAGACGCCGACGGGAGGCAGCAGUGGGGAAUAUUGCACAAUGGGCGCAAGCCUGAUGCAGCCAUGCCGCGUGUGUGAAGAAGGCCUUCGGGUUGUAAAGCACUUUCAGCGGGGAGGCGUUACCCGCAGAAGAAGCACCGGCUAACUCCGUGCCAGCAGCCGCGGUAAUUC
rnacentral:rRNA from 1 species